GACGAACGCUGGCGGCGUGCUUAACACAUGCAAGUCGAACGGAAAGGCCCUGCUUUUGUGGGGUGCUCGAGUGGCGAACGGGUGAGUAACACGUGAGUAACCUGCCCUUGACUUUGGGAUAACUUCAGGAAACUGGGGCUAAUACCGGAUAGGAGCUCCUGCUGCAUGGUGGGGGUUGGAAAGUUUCGGCGGUUGGGGAUGGACUCGCGGCUUAUCAGCUUGUUGGUGGGGUAGUGGCUUACCAAGGCUUUGACGGGUAGCCGGCCUGAGAGGGUGACCGGCCACAUUGGGACUGAGAUACGGCCCAGACUCCUACGGGAGGCAGCAGUGGGGAAGAUUGCACAAUGGGCGGAAGCCUGAUGAAGCAACGCCGCGGGCGGGAAGACGGCCUUCGGGUUGUAAACCGCUUUAGGCUGUGACGAAGCGUGAGUGACGGUAAUGGGUAAAGAAGCACCGGCUAACUACGUG
rnacentral:rRNA from 1 species